rnacentral:rRNA from 1 species
AUUGAACGCUGGCGGCAGGCCUAACACAUGCAAGUCGAGCGGAAGAAGGGAGCUUGCUCUUGCAUCCAGCGGCGGACGGGUGAGUAAUGCCUAGGAACCUGCCCGGUAGUGGGGGAUAACGCCCGGAAACGGGCGCUAAUACCGCAUACGACCUGAGGGAGAAAGUGGGGGAUCUUCGGACCUCACGCUAUUAGAUGAGCCUAGGGCGGAUUAGCUAGUUGGUGGGGUAAAGGCCUACCAAGGCGACGAUCCGUAACUGGUCUGAGAGGAUGAUCAGUCACACUGGAACUGAGACACGGUCCAGACUCCUACGGGAGGCAGCAGUGGGGAAUAUUGGACAAUGGGCGAAAGCCUGAUCCAGCCAUGCCGCGUGUGUGAAGAAGGUCUUCGGAUUGUAAAGCACUUUAAGUUGGGAGGAAGAGCAGUAAGUUAAUACCUUGCUGUUUUGACGUUACCCACAGAAUAAGCACCGGCUAACUUCGUG